UACGGAGGGAGCUAGCGUUGUUCGGAAUUACUGGGCGUAAAGCGCGCGUAGGCGGCUUUGUAAGUUAGAGGUGAAAGCCCGGAGCUCAACUCCGGAACUGCCUUUAAAACUGCAUCGCUUGAAUCCAGGAGAGGUGAGUGGAAUUCCGAGUGUAGAGGUGAAAUUCGUAGAUAUUCGGAAGAACACCAGUGGCGAAGGCGGCUCACUGGACUGGUAUUGACGCUGAGGUGCGAAAGCGUGGGGAGCGAUCCGG
rnacentral:rRNA from 1 species